UCUCGACCGGGGCGACAGCAAUAUGAAGGUCAGGCUGAAGACUUACCCGAUUAGCUGAGAGGUGGUGCAUGGCCGUCGUCAGUUCGUACUGUGAAGCAUCCUGUUAAGUCAGGCAACGAGCGAGACCCACGUCCACAGUUGCCAGCAUACCCUCCGGGGUGAUGGGUACACUGUGGAGACCGCCGCUGCUAAAGCGGAGGAAGGAGUGGGCAACGGUAGGUCAGUAUGCCCCGAAUCUCCCGGGCUACACGCGGGCUACAAUGGUUGGUACAAUGGGCAUCUACCCCGAAAGGGGAAGGAAAUCUCUUAAAGCCAAUCGUAGUUCGGAUUGAGGGCUGCAACUCGCCCUCAUGAAGCUGGAAUCCGUAGUAAUCGCGUUUCAACAGAACGCGGUGAAUACGUCCCUGCUCCUU
rnacentral:rRNA from 1 species